ensembl:lncRNA
CACAAAACAGUUGCAUUUUGUAAAAUAUAUUUUACCAUUAUUUUAUAAUAAAAUUACUUACAUACUGUAAUGGAAAAGUCUUAACAGUAAAACUUUAAGAAACUGUGUACCUGGAGCUACACAUCCAAACAGAUGAAGAGGUGAGAAUGAGCUGUAGGACUCAUUGGCAUAUCUGCUGUGCCCAAACCUCAGCACUGUGUGCUGACACACUGAUGCAGUGAGGGCAGCCAUCACCCAGCCCCGUGUUCAGCUGCCUCUCCAACUCACUCUGGCUCUGCUGCACAUCUCUCUGUGCUGGAGGCCCCAGACCUGGGUACUGGACUCCAAAUAUUUCCUACCCAGACAUUCCUGAAAGCUCUUCUUUUGGCAGAACUCUGUAGCAGGGAACAUUAUUCCUCACUGAGCACCUGAAUGGGAGCUCUGGCAGUGUCCCUCAGAGGCUCCCCUGGCCAACAGCACUCAGUGACUGCUGCACCACUGCAGCUCUCCCACCUGGGGGAGCUCCCAACUCACAGAGCAGCCACCAUGUGGUUGUGCAGACCACCGCUUCUUUAGGAUUGAAGACACUCGGGUCUGUAUUCCAUUUAAACCUAACAAAGAAGAAAAGAAUUCAUUUUGAAUGAAGUGCAGUGUGACAGUGUGCAGUGACUUCAGCUGAUGCUGCAGCCUGGCCUCAGCCCCAUAUCCGCAGGAUUCAUCCAGCAGUCUCCAAAGAAAGGUGUCAUCACUGACCAGGCUGUGCUUGGAGCAACAUUAGGGAACAGCUCAUCCCACAGGGGCUCUGCCCUACAAAUGAGGCCACCCAAUUACAGACCUUUAAUCGAGUUUAUAAUUCCCACCUGCAAACCGUAUUCCCACUGCCCUUUGUCAACAAGCACUGACAAGAACUCACUCCAACCCCCAGCAAUGCCAGGCAAUUACUCACAGGGGACACUGACACACUCCACUUCAGUUUCUCCACAAUUUCAGCCUUAAGCAAAGCAAACCAAAACCCUCCACGGGGUCUCAGAAGCUCUCAGCCUCUCCCACUAAGCGUGCAGUUCCUGAAAAAGACAACAGAGCCCCAGGUGAGCAUCUCCAGUUCAACAGCCAUUGUGCACUAAGAAUCAGUGCCCAAGGAAGCAGCAGAGCACAAACCCUCACCGCAUGGCUCUGUUUUACUGCCAUCCCCAAUGCAGCAAAGCAAACACUGACUGUCUUCAAACCGGCCCCGCUCAGAGCAGGGCUGUGCCAGCAAAGAGGCCAAGGCCAGUCUGAAUGCUGCUUUUCCUCCUUUUUCGACCACAAGAUCGGUAUUCAGAUCUGAUGGGAAAGGGAUCUGGAGGACAGAGCUCUGGCAAAAGCACACGUUCUCACCUUAGGUCUAUCAGCAGGCAGGCAGUGAGCUCCGAACAGCAAGAAACCCUGGAACACACUGCCCAGCACCGCGAGCAGCAUCUCAGCAUCUCCCCACAUCUCAGCAUCUCCCCACAUCUCAGCAUCUCCCCACAUCUCAGCAUCUCCACAGCGCUCCUUAGACAGAAAAGCAUUUAAAGGCACGGUAACGCUGUGCUGCGCCCCACCCGCCACCACCCCCCCAAACGCGGGCCCAGAAGCACAGGUUCGGUGCCACCAAUGCCUGAGAGCACUGCGGUGGGAGUCCCUGCGCCGCUGCCCCGGCCCCUGUAGUUUCCCCAUUUGUUGCUGGGCGGUUACAGAAGACCAAACCGCGCAGCGACCGUCGAGGAAAACGCGUGGCUCUGGGCUCCUUUUUGACUGCGGCUGCCACAGCGCACGGCAGGCGCAGCUUCGAUAGGGCCGGGCGAGGCCCGGAACCCUCCACCCCCCAUCCACCCCACCCCGGGCAGGCGCUCACCCACGGCGGCUCAGGUCCCACACCACGGAGGGAGCCGCGUCAUCCCGCCGAGCCCCCGGGCACCAACGAGGCGGGAGGGCCCCGGCGGAGGGCGGAUGGCGGCGGAUUGUCCCGCAGCGCGACGACCAGCGCCGCCAUCGCAAAGAGAGACAGAGGACGGCCCGCCGUGGGCCUUUAUAGGGCGGCAGCGCGCACGCUGAUUGGCUGCUGAGGACGGGUGUUCCCGCGGUGCAUUCUGGGAGCUGUAGUUCGGGCUCGGACUCCUCCCGCUCGCUGCGGCUGCUCCGUGCGGUUGGUACCCAUAAGCUAUAAUAGGCGUUCUCCUCCUGAGCGUGUCUCCGUGAAGAAAGUUCAUCUAGGGGGGAGUGAGGAGGAGCACUGGAUGAAGUAAGAGGCCGUUGGUUGGACUGUCAUGAUGCUAAAAGGUCACUAGGCGGGAGAAGAGACCACGGAGCAGAAGACUGCAGACCUCAUAAGUCACUGCCUGAGAUAGGCG